CUUUUGACAGCCGUGAGCUUCCCCGCCAGGAACUUACUGGGGCUGCAUCACCCUAGAAACGUGGCUUUGGGCUGUGGAAACGCUGCCUCUGUGGAAGUCUCUCCUCGCGGGGGUGGACGGGUCGCUGCGCGCCCAGCGUUCUUCUGCGGUUCUCACAGCCCGCCGCCGCCGCCGCCUCGGGGACCUUUGCGGGGAGGCCUCAGGUACCAGUCAGGACUGGUAGACUUUAAUGUGGAGAACUUCUGAAACAGCAGUUCUCAAAAUGUUACCUCCAGACACACAGAAUCUGCAUCACCCAGGAACUUGUAACCAUGCAAAUUCUCAGCCACCCAGACUUCCUGCAUCAGAAACUCUGGGGCCCAGCAGCCUGUGUUUUAACAAAGCCCUUCAGGCUGGAGUAUAGUGGCAUGAUCAUAGAUCACUGCAGCCUCAAACUCCUGGGCUCAAGCGAUCCUCCCACCUCAGCCUCCAUAUAGCUGGUGGGGACCAAGUUUCUAACACAUGAAUGUUGGGAGACACAUUCAGACCAUCGCAGUGGCCUUAUAAAAAGAGACACAAGAGCUUGCUCUCUGCCAUGUGAGAAUACCACAAGAAGACUGUCCUCAGCAAAUCAGAAAGCGGGUGGACCCUCAUCAGACACCAGAUGUGCCUGCACCUUGAUCUUGGACUUGCCAGCCUUCAGAACAGUAAGAAAGAAAUGUGUGUUGUUUAAGCCACCCAGUCUAUGGUAACUUGCUAUAGCAGCCCACUAGGAGACCCCAAGAUAUUUAAAAACUCAUCAGCACCUGCUUUCUGCAUCUGGACCCUGAUCUUCUGGUGGGUUUACCAGUUACUUGUAGAGUGUCCCUGUGAUAGUUUUAGGUGUCAACUUGACAGGAUUGAGGGAUGCCUAGAUGGCUGGGGAAGCACUGUUUCUGAGAAGGACCAUGUUUUUGGAGGAGACUGUUUUAUGAGUGAAUUUCAGGGGACACAUUCAGAUCAUGGCAGUGGCAUUAUAAAGAGAGACACAAAAGCUUGCUCUCUCUCUCUGCCAUGUAAGACUACCACACAAAGACUGCCAUCUGCAAACCAGAAGCAGGUGGGCUUUCCUCAGACACCAGAUCUGCCUGCACCUUGAUCUUGGACUUGCCAGCCUUCAGAACUCUAAGAAAGAAAUGGUAGCAUGGCUUGGUCUAAGUUGGAAGGCCUGAGAAACAAGCACAUGGUGGAACUGAGUUCAAGGAUAAAGACUUGAGAAUACCUGCUCAGUGGACUGAGUAGGGAAGAUCAACCCUCAAUGUAGGCAGGCACUAUCCAAUCACCUGAGGGCCCAGAUGGAACAAAAAGGUGGAAGAAGGGUGAAUUCUCUCUUCCAGAGCUGUGACACCCUUCUCAUGCCCUUGUACCACACAACUCUAGGUCCUUUGGCCUUUGGACUCUGACACUUGCACCAGUGGCCCUCUGGGGCUCUCAAGCCUUUAGCCUUGAACUUAGUUACACCAUGUGCCUCCUUGUUUCUCAGGCCUUCCAACUUGGAUCAGGCCAUGCCACCGGCUUCUCUGAUUCUCCAGCUUGCAGAUGGUAUAUUGUGACCCUGGCAUUUAAUAACUAUGACUUUGGUCUUAAGCAAUUUUCUUCCUCUGUGGAUUGAUAUUUACAUAUCAAUGUGGAUAAUAAUUUCUUACCACGGUAACUGUUGUGAGGUAAAAAUGAGUUAACAUAAGUAAAACCGAGCACAUGCAAACCAUCCGAAAUGGUUAAUACUUACUAUUUGUACUUGAAGAAAUAAAUGUUUUUGACAAUAAACUUCUUGUGCAGUUUUCCUCA
rnacentral:lncRNA from 1 species